UACGGAGGGUGCAAGCGUUAUCCGGAUUCACUGGGUUUAAAGGGUGCGUAGGCGGGCAGGUAAGUCCGUGGUGAAAUCUCUGAGCUUAACUCAGAAACUGCCAUGGAUACUAUUUGUCUUGAAUGUUGUGGAGGUAAGCGGAAUAUGUCAUGUAGCGGUGAAAUGCUUAGAUAUGACAUAGAACACCAAUUGCGAAAGCAGCUUACUACACAAAUAUUGACGCUGAGGCACGAAAGCGUGGGGAUCAAACAGG
rnacentral:rRNA from 1 species